UAAUAAGUGGUUUGACUACAAUUAAAUGCAUACAAUGUAUUAAACCAUAACCAUAAUAUUAGAGAAUCAUACUAAAUAGAAAACUAUGUGCGUCAAAACUUAUAAAAUGCAGAAGUUGCAAAGACUACUCAAAAAGGACUCUAGAUCUACAGAAAUAUUAUAACUGAUUGGGUUUUAAAAUGCAACCUCUAUAAAUGUGGCUAAGCAAUACAAUCCAAAAGCUGGAGACUACAAUAGCAACAAACAAAAGUCUAGUUGGAAUAGAGUCUGGGUAAGUUCCAUAUGGUCAAGAAAAUUAAUAUAUCAUUUUGAUAAUUUUAAAAUAUCCAGCUCCACCAAAGUGAUCAAUAAGAGUCAAUAAUUCGACAUUGAGGCUGUAUCCACCAAGUUUCAUUCCUACUAUUUCAAACUAAUCACAUUGAGAUAUUCUUUAUGUGUUUUUUCCACAUUUAACAAAGCUUAAAGAUAUUCCUUACCUUGUAAAUGUUAGA
rnacentral:misc_RNA from 1 species